UUUAUGUACCAUACCCAGCCUAUGAAAUGUGAUCAAAUCUUAUCAAUCCUAACGGAAUGAGCAUACAUUUUAAUUCAUAGUUCCUUACUUGCACAGAACACAGAACAUCCAUUCGUCCAUCAGUGAUUUAUCUUCUUAUACUCACCAUAUCAACUGUUUGUGAAAAUAUUUCUGUUCAAACAUUUUAGACGCCAUAUGCCACAGACAGCAUAGAAUCUUGAGAGAAGAACUCACAACAAAAGAAAGGCUUUGUUGACCACAUGUUGGAGGUGUGCAAUUAAGAGUUUGCCACAUCAAAUAUUGAAAAAGUUUCAACAACAUCUGAUGAAAAUGAUGCGAAAGAUGAAUAAACAGGGAGAAAUUCUGUCUUGGUCACUCAUUGGAGUUGGAGAGAUUAUCAAGAAUCAUGCCUUGAUGUGCUUCAGAAUGUUUGUUUUGUGAUUACAUGGAUAAUCACUGCUUUCUUGAACAAGUGGACUGUUCAAUUUUGCGAGAAAGACAAAUCUUAUUUGGUAACUUUUGUAGCUGAAUGCUGGUCAACAUUCAAAUGCGAACAAAAUGGAUAUUACUAUUUUUGUUCCUUUGCAAAUUUGCAAAUAUGAAUGUAAACUAAUAAUUAAAUAACACUGUCAAUUGUCACUAUCACUUAAUUCCUGAAACUCUAGCACCAACUUGCACAAAUGCAGAGUAAGUGGAGUAUUAACUAUCAAUCCAUUAGAACAAUCUGCAUCUUUUAAAAUCACAUUCCAAAUGACUCAUCGUUUCAAAUUCAAUUUUGAAUGGUUACCAAAGGUUCAUAAUGUACAAAAAUCCACCAGAAAUUUGUAAAAAACGAAAUUUUGGCCGAAAAACAUUUAAAAAUUAGUCAUUCUAAAUUAUCGAAUGUUGAGAAAUAUAUAAAUUAUGUAGGUUUUGCAUUUAUUGACCUGUAAAGGAAAGGUUCAUAUUUUAAACAUUUAUAUUUAAGAAC